GGGACGUUAAACCAACAACCCAAGGGUGUCUCGGAAUGCUGGUGCGCGAUGGGGGCGGAUCUCACCGCUCAAUGGGGCUUCCGCCCCGUCCCGUCGCGGCGGACGCGGUUGGUGCGCGAUGGGGGCGGAUCUCACCGCUCAAUGGGGCCUUCCGCCCCGUCCCGUCGUCAUCGGCCGCGGGGGGUGCACGAUGGGGGCGGAUCUCACCGCUCACUGGGGCUUCCGCCCCGUCCCGUCGUCGCCUCCUUUCCGGGGCGCCCUAUUCCAAUUUUUUCCUCAGUAGAGAAAACUUGGGCCGGGAGUUCCGGCAAAGAGGGCGGGA
rnacentral:misc_RNA from 1 species